GGGUGCGAUCAUACCAGCACUAAUGCACGGAUCCCAUCAGAACUCCGAAGUUAAGCGUGCUUGGGCGAGAGUAGUACUAGGAUGGGUGACCCCCUGGGAAGUCCUCGUGUUGCACCCC
rnacentral:rRNA from 1 species